rnacentral:tRNA from 1 species
GCUAGUGUGGCUCAAUGGUAGAGCAGCUGAAUCGUAAUCAGCUGGUUGGGGGUUCGAUUCCCUUCACUAGCUCCA